AACGCACAUUGCACCCGGUGGUAUUCUACCGGGUACACCUGUCUGAGCGUCAUUUCUGCACCCAAGCCCCUCUGCUUGGUGUUGGAGAUCUGCCCCGUCGCAGUCUCUGAAAAAUAUUGGCGGGCCUGUCUCUUGCCCCUCGCGUAGUACAUCUCACGCAACGGUCCUGGACAGGUCGAGCCAGAAGCUUUCUCCUAAAGGCACUGAAAGUUGACCUCAGAUCAGGUGGGAAUACCCGCUGAACUUAA
rnacentral:misc_RNA from 1 species